AUUGAACGCUGGCGGCAUGCUUUACACAUGCAAGUCGAACGGUAACAGGGUGCUUGCACCGCUGACGAGUGGCGAACGGGUGAGUAAUGCGUCGGAACGUGCCGAGUAGUGGGGGAUAACGCAGCGAAAGUUGUGCUAAUACCGCAUACGUACUGAGGUAGAAAGUGGGGGACCUUCGGGCCUCACGCUAUUCGAGCGGCCGACGUCUGAUUAGCUAGUAGGUGAGGUAAAGGCUCACCUAGGCGACGAUCAGUAGCGGGUCUGAGAGGAUGAUCCGCCACACUGGGAAUGAGACACGGGCCAGACUCCUGCGGGAGGCAGCAGUGGGGAAUUUUGGACAAUGGGCGAAAGCCUGAUCCAGCCAUGCUGCGUGUCUGAAGAAGGCCUUCGGGUUGUAAAGGACUUUUGUCAGGGAGGAAAUCCCUAGUGCUAAUAACACUGGGGGAUGACAGUACCUGAAGAAUAAGCACCGGCUAACUACGUGCCAGCCGCCGCUGUAAUAC
rnacentral:rRNA from 1 species